rnacentral:rRNA from 1 species
GAUGAACGCUGGCGGCGUGCCUAAUACAUGCAAGUCGAGCGAACAGACGCGGAGCUUGCUCCUCUGACGUUAGCGGCGGACGGGUGAGUAACACGUGUAUAACCUCCCUAUAAGACUGGGAUAACUUCGGGAAACCGGAGCUAAUACCGGAUAAUAUAUUGAUCCGCAUGGUUCAAUAGUGAAAGUCGGCUGUUCUGUCACUUAUAGAUGCUUCCGCGCUGCAUUAGCUAGUUGGUCAGGUAACGGCUUACCAAGGCAACGAUGCGUAGCCGACCUGAGAGGGUGGUCGGCCACACUGGAACGGGGACGCGGUCCAGACUCCUGAGGGAGGCAGCAGUCGGGAAUCGGACGCAAUGGGCGAAAGCCUGACGGAGCAACGGCGCGUGAGUGAUGAAGGUCUUCGGUUCGUAAAACUCUGUUAUUAGGGAAGAACAGAUGUGGAAGGAGCUAUGGACGUCUUGACGGUACCUGAUCAGAAAGCCACGGCUAACUACGUG